rnacentral:rRNA from 1 species
UACGUAGGGGGCAAGCGUUGUCCGGAAUCAUUGGGCGUAAAGCGCGUGUAGGCGGUUCGGUAAGUCUGCUGUGAAAGUCCAGGGCUCAACCCUGGGAUGCCGGUGGAUACUGUCGGACUAGAGUACGGAAGAGGCGAGUGGAAUUCCCGGUGUAGCGGUGAAAUGCGCAGAUAUCGGGAGGAACACCAAUUGCGAAGGCAGCUCGCUGGGACGUCACUGACGCUGAGGAGCGAAAGCGUGGGGAGCGAACAGG